rnacentral:rRNA from 1 species
AGAGUUUGAUCCUGGCUCAGAACGAACGCUGGCGGCGUGCCUAACACAUGCAAGUCGAACGGACUUAUUAGGAAGUAGCAAUACGGAAUAAUAAGUUAGUGGCGGACGGGUGAGUAACACGUAGGUAACCAACCCUCAAGCGGGGGACAACCCAGGGAAACUUGGGCUAAUACCGCAUAAGACCACGGCCUGGAAUGGCUGAGGUAAAAGGAGCAAUUCACUUGAGGAUGGGCCUGCGGCCUAUCAGGUAGUUGGCGGGGUAAAGGCCCACCAAGCCUAAGACGGGUAGCCGGACUGAGAGGUUGAACGGCCACACUGGAACUGAGACACGGUCCAGACUCCUACGGGAGGCAGCAGUGGGGAAUUUUGCGCAAUGGGCGAAAGCCUGACGCAGCGACGCCGCGUGGAGGAUGAAGGUCUUCGGAUUGUAAACUCCUUUUAUAGGGGAAAAUAAUGAUGGUACCCUAUGAAUAAGCCACGGCUAACUCUGUGCCAGCAGCCGCGGUAACACGGAGGGUGCAAGCGUUAUUCGGAAUUAUUGGGCGUAAAGGGCGCGUAGGCGGCCGAACAGGUCAGGUGUGAAAGCCCGGGGCUUAACCCCGGAAGUGCAUUUGAAACCUUUUGGCUUGAGUAUGGGAGAGGAGAGCGGAAUUCCUGGUGUAGAGGUGAAAUUCGUAGAUAUCAGGAGGAACACCGGUGGCGAAGGCGGCUCUCUGGACCAAUACUGACGCUGAGGCGCGAAGGCGUGGGUAGCAAACAGGAUUAGAUACCCUGGUAGUCC